GAUGAACGCUGGCGGCGUGCUUAACACAUGCAAGUCGAACGAGAAGUGAAGACGUAACCCUUCGGGCGGAAGGCUUUAUUUCGAGUGGCGGACUGGUGAGUAACGCGCGGGUAACCUGCCUCAUACAGGGGGAUAACAGUUUGAAACGACUGUUAAUACCGCAUAAGACCACAGCACCGCAUGGUGCGGGGGUAAAAACUCCGGUGGUAUGAGAUGGACCCGCGUUCGAUUAGCCAGUUGGCGGGGUAACGGCCCACCAAAGCGACGAUCGAUAGCCGAUCUGAGAGGAUGACCGGCCACAUUGGGACUGAGACACGGCCCAAACUCCUACGGGAGGCAGCAGUGGGGAAUAUUGCACAAUGGGGGAAAGCCUGAUGCAGCGACGCCGCGUGAGUGAAGAAGUAUUUCGGUAUGUAAAGCUCUAUCAGCAGGGAAGAAAAUGACGGUACCUGAGUAAGAAGCCCCGGCUAACUACGUG
rnacentral:rRNA from 1 species